GGGGAUUUAGCUCAGUGGUAGAGCGCUUGCCAGGAAGCGCAAGGCCCUGGGUUCGAUCCCCAGCUCCG
rnacentral:tRNA from 1 species